rnacentral:lncRNA from 1 species
CCGCAGUCAACAAUCUAACGGUCAGAUCUGUCCUGUGAACCCAACCAGGCCUUUUCUCAGUAUGGCCCCUCGAUCUUUGCUGAGGGGAGGGGACCCGAGGGGGUGGGUGGGGUUGCUGCUGUGUCUUGCCUGCCUUGGUUGCCUUUCACCCCCAUCAGCAUUAAGGCUUGGGGAGGACACACUUAGGUUAUUUUGGAGCAGUCCAAGGCCUUCGAUUUAACCCAUCAGCCCGUAUGAGUUUGGAGGUUUAAAAAGUUCCUGCAUGUUGGUUUUUUUAAUUAAAACCAGAAAAGAGUUUUGUUUUGAGAUUUUUUUUCAUAGAAUGUUAGGAUUGGAAAGGACUGGAGAGCUCAUCUAAUCCAAAAUUCUUUUCUAGGUGAAGAAACUGAGACACAGGGAGGUUUUGUUUAAUGACUUGUCUAUGGUCAGUCAGUAAAUUUCACAGCUGGAACAUAUUUUCUCUUAGCCUUGUGCUCUGCAUUUGUGUAUCUUGGAGCCAGAGCUUCUGUAUCUCUUCCUUGUUUAAGAAAGAUGUAGUUCUCUUCCUUGACCUCUCACCAAGAAUUCUUGCAGUUUCUGUGACUGAUUAGAGCCUUUAGGAAAAUGGGAGAGGCCUCUGGCUGCCAUCUUUGUAGGUGGGAAAGGAGGAUCAUGUCUUCAAAUACCACCGAACUUUUAAGCCUUUUUCUACCUCCUCUAACCCUAAAAUUAGUUAGAAACUUCUGGGGGCCUUCUUCAUACUUGGGGAAAGGGGAAGAGUUUAAAAGUAUGCCUUAAAACCUUUGUUCUGAGAGAUAUCUCCUCUUCUUUCCUUCCUGCUCCCUUCCUCCCAUUCUCUGCAGAGCCAUGAUGGCAGAGAUCCCACUUCUUCCAAGAAGCUUUCCUUGACUAACUCAGAGGAAGCGUAGAUGUGUGCUCAGAUCCAUCUUCUCUCUCUGAAAAAUCUGUCCAUAGGGACAGUCAUAUGGGUCAUGUUAUUGAGAAGUACAGUCAACUUUUUAUUAUCUAUACAGAGGCUGAGAGCAGCAUUACAGAGAGCUGAGGAAGACCCCCUUGAUUGCCUGUUGACUGAAGCAGCCAGGGUAUUUGCAAGAGCACAAGUGAAAGACAGGUAUCCAGAUUAUAUUUGCAUCAUAGAAGAAAACCGGUAAGACUCUUUUCCUUUUUUUUUUUGCAAAUAGUUUAUAUAAUAUCAGAAGUAUUUUCUUUGAAUGUUUGAUAGAAUUCACUUAAGAAUUCAUCUGGUUCUAGUUUUUUUUUCUCAUUAGGAAUUCAUGUAUACCUUAUUUAAUUUCUUUUUUUCUGAGGUUGGAUUAUCUAAGUUCUCUAUUUCCUUGAUAUGUACAUUUCAUAUUUCCAUAAGUAUUUUUUCAUUAAAGUUAUACAUUUUAUUGGCAUAUAAUUGAGGGAAUUAGUUUUUUAUAAUUUCCUUUAGAAUUCUCCUUUUUUUGUUUUGCUACCAUCCAAUUGAUUUUUCUCUUAAAUUUUUAAAGAAAUGGCAGUAGAUAAUGGUUUGUUUAAUUUUAUUUAUUUAAAAGAUCUCAUAGUUUUAUUUAUCAAUUUAAUUUCUUUUUGGCUUUAAAUUUGAUUUAUCUCUUCUUUGACUGUCAGAAUUUCUAUUUUUGUGUCUACUUGGAUUUUUGAUUAGUUACUUUUUGUUUUAUGGCCAAUUCUUUCUUUUAUCUAUUCUCUUUCUUUUUCUUUUUCUUUUCUGUUGUUGUUGGUGAAAGUGUUUAUUUCAUAGACAUAGAUUUAGAGGUUAAAGGAACCUUAGAGACCCUGAUGUUCAACCCCUUCAUUUUACAGAUGAGAAAACUGAGGCACAGUUUGUGACAUUCCUAGUGUCACAUAGGAUUUGAAAUUAGUUCUUUCUCAAACCAAGUUUAGUGGUAUAUAUAUAUUCUGUCACUGACCUCCCUAUACAUCUUCCUGCCUUCUGAAAAUGUUACAUUAUUUCAUAGUUGCCACUUUUGGGUGGGUAAAGUUAUUGGUGGUUUCUGUCUAUUCUUUGACUCAAUGAUUCUUUAGGAUUAAGUUAUUUAGUUGCAAAUUAAUUUUUAAUGCUCACUUCAGUUUCUUUACUGAAUGUAAUUUAAAUUUCAUUGUAUUCAAUAAAAGUCGUGCUUAAUAUUU